UGAAAAAUAUUAUUGUGAACUCAAAACUAUUACUAGAUUAUUUAUUUAUUUGUUUUAUUUUUCAAUCUUUGAGAAAAUUGAUCUUUUCAU
rnacentral:miRNA from 1 species